rnacentral:rRNA from 1 species
UAGGGGAGCGUUCUGUAAGCCGAUGAAGGUGUAUUGAGAAGUAUGCUGGAGGUAUCAGAAGUGCGAAUGCUGACGUGAGUAACGACAAAACGGGUGAAAAACCCGUUCGCUGAAAGACCAAGGGUUCCAGUCCAACGUUAAUCGGGGCUGGGUGAGUCGACCCCUAAGGCGAGGCCGAGAGGCGUAGUCGAUGGGAAAUUGGUUAAUAUUCCAAUACUUCUGUGUAAUGCGAUGAGAGGACGGAGAAAGUUAAGUCAGCCUGGCGUUGGUUGUCCAGGUGGAAGGCAGUAGGCAUGCAUCUUAGGCAAAUCCGGGGUGCUCUAUGCUGAGAGCUGAUAGCAAGCUAGUUUACUAGCGAAGUGGCUGAUACUAUGCUUCCAGGAAAAGUCUCUAAGCUUCAGUUACACAGGAAUCGUACCCUAAACCGACACAGGUGGUCAGGUCGAGUAGACCAAAGCGCUUGAGAGAACUCUGCUGAAGGAACUAGGCAAAAUGGUACCGUAACUUCGGGAGAAGGUACGCUGCUGACGGUGAUAGGACUUGCUCCUUGAGCUAUUGGCAGCCACAGAAACCAGGCCCCUGCAACUGUUUAUUAAAAACAUAGCACUCUGCAAACACGAAAGUGGACGUAUAGGGUGUGAUGCCUGCCCGGUGCUGGAAGGUUAAUUGAUGGGGUUAGCGUAAGCGAAGCUCUUGAUCGAAGCCCCAGUAAACGGCGGCCGUAACUAUAACGGUCCUAAGGUAGCGAAAUUCCUUGUCGGGUAAGUUCCGACCUGCACGAAUGGCAUAAUGAUGGGGGCGCUGUCUCCAGCAGAGACUCAGUGAAAUCGAAAUCGCCGUGAAGAUGCGGUGUACCCGCGGCUAGACGGAAAGACCCCGUGAACCUUUACUGCAGCUUGACAUUGAACUUUGAUCUUACUUGUGUAGGAUAGGUGGGAGGCUUUGAAGUAGUGACGCCAGUUGCUAUGGAGCCAUCCUUGAAAUACCACCCUGGUAAUAUUGAGGUUCUAACUCUGUCCCGUUAUCCGGGACGAGGACCAUGUCUGGUGGGUAGUUUGACUGGGGCGGUCUCCUCCUAAAGAGUAACGGAGGAGUACGAAGGUGCGCUCAGCGUGGUCGGAAAUCACGCGUAGAGUAUAAAGGCAAAAGCGCGCUUAACUGCGAGACCCACAAGUCGAGCAGGUACGAAAGUAGGUCUUAGUGAUCCGGUGGUUCUGUAUGGAAGGGCCAUCGCUCAACGGAUAAAAGGUACUCUGGGGAUAACAGGCUGAUACCGCCCAAGAGUUCAUAUCGACGGCGGUGUUUGGCACCUCGAUGUCGGCUCAUCUCAUCCUGGGGCUGAAGCAGGUCCCAAGGGUAUGGCUGUUCGCCAUUUAAAGAGGUACGCGAGCUGGGUUUAGAACGUCGUGAGACAGUUCGGUCCCUAUCUACCGUGGGCGUUGGAAAUUUGAGAGGAUCUGCUCCUAGUACGAGAGGACCAGAGUGGACGAACCUCUGGUGUACCGGUUGUGACGCCAGUCGCAUCGCCGGGUAGCUAUGUUCGGAAGGGAUAACCGCUGAAAGCAUCUAAGCGGGAAGCCUACCUCAAGAUAAGAUUUCCCUAGGACUUUAUGUCCUCUAAAGAGCCGUUGA